GACAGAGGGUGCAAACGUUGUUCGGAAUUACUGGGCGUAAAGCGCACGUAGGCGGAUUGUUAAGUCAGGGGUGAAAUCCUGGAGCUCAACUCCAGAACUGCCUUUGAUACUGGGGAUCUUGAGUCCGGGAGAGGUGAGUGGAACUGCGAGUGUAGAGGUGAAAUUCGUAGAUAUUCGCAAGAACACCAGUAGCGAAGGCGGCUCACUGGCCCGGUACUGACGCUGAGGUGCGAAAGCGUGGGGAGCAAACAGG
rnacentral:rRNA from 1 species